rnacentral:lncRNA from 1 species
GCUAGUUUGGGGAACAAAUGUAACCAUUCAAGUGAUGAUCCAAGGGCCAUUCAACUACAUGAAGAUGCAUGGAGUUUUCGGUCACUUAAAGGCUGAUUCAUGAAGGCAUUUUAAUGGUCAAGUGGAGAUGAAUGUAUGAGAGGAAAUGUUCAUGAACCAGUAGCUUAAGCCAAUCCAUCUCCUAUUUCCAUGCAUGGAUAUUCGGCCAUUAAGGAGUGCAUGAAGGGACCAUUCAAUUUGGAUGCAUGUGCAUGGAUUUUUCCUGCUAAUUAAAUGCUUAAAUAUGAACAAACAUUGCUUAAGGGCUAAGGAUGCACGGACGACACAAGGGGGAAUGAAUGCUGAAUUUCCAAGCAUUAAAUGUGGGUUCAUGUAAUGUGAAAAUACUUUGUACCUAAGGGAUACAUAUAUGGCCGGUUUUGAAGAGGCAUUUUUCAAGUCCUAUAAAUAUUCGGUCUAGGUCACUUUGGAAGAGUGAAUAAACCAAUCAAUCAACUUUGAAACUCAAACUGAGUUUAUACUCUUUCUUCUUUUUAGAAAUAAAAUCAAACUUAUCAUGAACUUACCUUCAUGCGGUGUUGAUUAAUAGAUCCUAUCGCUUCCCUUCUCAACUCUUUUUGAAGUGUAACGAUCAUCCUAUAUCGUUGGUUCCUAUCUCAAUAUAGAUAAUAGGUAGCGAUCUUUCUUAAAGCAACUAACUUGUUAAGACUUAACUUUGCUUUGUAGAAAUCAAGUCACACUAUUUUAUAGUGCUGGUUCAUUUUUGGAUCAAGUUUCGUUUUAUCAAUUUUUAUUCAUUCCGUUCUUCCAAUACCCUAAAUACAUUUCAAGUUCUAAGCUUAACUUCCCUUUUUUUCCGAGAAAGUACCUAUUUAGACGAAUAGGCAUAUCAAAUCAUGGGUCAAAUUCUAAACUCGUAAUCGGAUUCAUAUUAGUUGAUAACAUGGAUGAAGGGACAGAGUUUGAUAGAAUGAACAACUAAUUGGGGGGAUUUUUGUUUUUUUUUUGUUCUAUUCCUUUAAGUUUUUCUGUGUAAUAAUUUUUUUAAGUUGCAAUUAUGAAUAAAAUUGAGUUAAUUUGUAAAUUAUUCUUUUAAAAAAUGAGAAGUAUUGUAAUGUGAAUGUGCAUGUCUAGGAUAAGCCCUGGCAAGGAAAGACUGGGUAUUUAAGCAGUCGAAUGAGACUCACCUUCCUUUCUUGGGAGCCUACCUGGUGCAUAGCUCACAUUCAUUUUUUUGAUUUUGUCUCUU